AUUCUACUCCCUCCGUUACACAAUACAUGCCUUCUAUUUGUCAAAAUAUAUAUGUAUCUAGACAUGUUUUAGUAUAUAGGUACAUCCAUUUUUGGACAAAUGGAAGUCAAGUAUUUUGGAACGGAGGGAGUACACA
rfam:Triticum aestivum genome assembly, contig: Triticum_aestivum_CS42_TGACv1_scaffold_579122_7BL